AACGCAUAUUGCACUUCCUGGUAUUCCGGGAAGUAUGCCUGUUUCAGUAUCAUGAACAUACCUCAGGCCAAAAUUCUUUUUUUGGGUCCUGGAUCUAGGCUGAACCUCUCUCUUAGCCGACCAGCACAAAAAGGUCGGCCAGCCUGAAACACAUCCCGAUCGCGGAUCCUCUUCUAGGGAGUGGAAAAAAGAAAAGGCGUUGAUAGUUCGACCUUGGUGUCGAUCUUUUCGCCGAAGUAAAAAAUCCCUCCUGAUCUGCGUCGAUUAGCAGGACUAAAUUUUGUUCUUCUCAACUUGAUCUGAAAUCAGGUAGGAGUACCCGCUGAACUUAA
rnacentral:misc_RNA from 1 species